rnacentral:rRNA from 1 species
CGCGGUAUAAUGACCGUGCGAAGGUAGCAUAAUCAUUAGUCUUUUAAUUGAAGGCUGGUAUGAAUGGUUGAACGAGAAAUAAGCUUUCUUUACUAAAAAAAUUGAAUUUAACUUUUGAGUGAAAAGGCUUAAAUAAUCUAGAGGGACGAUAAGACCCUAUAAAGUUUCAUACUUAAAUUAUUACGAAGUAAUUAGAAUAGAAAAGCUUGAUAAUAACUGGGUGUUUUGUUGGGGUGACAAGAAUAUAAAUAAUAUAACUGUUCUUUAAGAAACAAGGUUAUUUGUUAAAGUGAUCUUUAGUUUAAAGUGGUAGAGCAAAUUACUUUAGGGAUAACAGCGUUAUUUUUUUUAAGAGUUCUUAUCAACAAAAAAGUUUGCGACCUCGAUGUUGAAUUAAAGGCUCUUUGGGAUGAAGAAGUUUCAAAAGAAGGUCUGUUCGACCUUUAAAUCUUUACAUGAUUUGAGUUCAGACCGGUGUGAGCCAGGUUGGUUUCUAUCUA